rnacentral:rRNA from 1 species
AUUGAACGCUGGCGGCAGGCCUAACACAUGCAAGUCGAACGGUAACAGGAAACAGCUUGCUGUUUCGCUGACGAGUGGCGGACGGGUGAGUAAUGUCUGGGAAACUGCCUGAUGGAGGGGGAUAACUACUGGAAACGGUAGCUAAUACCGCAUAACGUCGCAAAACCAAAGAGGGGGACCUUCGGGCCUCUUGCCAUCGGAUGUGCCCAGAUGGGAUUAGCUAGUAGGUGGGGUAACGGCUCACCUAGGCGACGAUCCCUAGCUGGUCUGAGAGGAUGACCAGCCACACUGGAACUGAGACACGGUCCAGACUCCUACGGGAGGCAGCAGUGGGGAAUAUUGCACAAUGGGCGCAAGCCUGAUGCAGCCAUGCCGCGUGUAUGAAGAAGGCCUUCGGGUUGUAAAGUACUUUCAGCGGGGAGGAAGGGAGUAAAGUUAAUACCUUUGCUCAUUGACGUUACCCGCAGAAGAAGCACCGGCUAACUCCGUG